CAGGCUGAGGCCUGUUGUGAGGCUGGUGAUCGUGGUUUCGGGUGGGUGGGGGCUGUCCUGGGCCUUGGGGAUGCUGUUGUGGGCGGGCGAGGCCUAGGCUGAGGUCUACGUCUACGGAGGCUGCUUUUCCCAUUUGAUCCUGUGAGCUGACAGGAGGACUCGGCAAAAUCAGCUGCCACUGUGAACCUGAUAGCUUCUCCACAUCACUGUUUUCUCUUCCUUUAUGCCAGGCACCAAAGAUGUCUAAAAAUGUAUGGAUGCAAUUUAUACAGACCAGGGAUGGAGACACCAUUAACCCGAUGGUGCAGCGCCCAUUCUACCCAUCGUUUCCUAGUUUCUUUUCCAGUUUACACCGAGACUGAAUCACGACAAAGGCACCGCCCAGAAAGCCCCAAGGUUGACCCUGGGGAGCAUGUGCAUUCUUAGUGGCCAGAGAAAUGAGCUGGUUGGAUAGAAAGGUUUGAGGUGCAGGGAAUUGUGGAAACUGCACCACCAUUAUUUAGCGGCUGUUGGAUAUUAGAAGGGGAGAAUUUGCAGAUGGCAAACUCAAACCAAAGAUCAUUUCAAGAUGGACAGAGCCGUUCAGUUCAUCAGGAUCUGAAUAUCAUCAGCCAUUGAAUGUGGCAGAAAAGAUGUUUGUCUGCUCUAUCUGUAAGAAAAGUACUGAAACACACACAACUGAGUGAGAGAGUGUUCCAAUGCACUGACUGUGGAAAGAGUUUUAACCAGCCAUGUGUGCCAUUUAUCGCAGGGAUAAACUGUCUUGUUCUAUGUGUGAAUGAGGCUUCAACUGAUCAUCCAACCGAUAGAGAUACAAGGGCACCGCAUCAUGGAUAAACCCUGGAAAUGUGGGGACUGUGGGAAGGGAUUCAAUUACCCGUCCAAACUGGAAAUUCAUCGACGCAACCACACUGGGGAGUGGCCGUUCACCUGUUCCAUGUGUGGCAAGGGCUUUAAUUACCCAUCUGAGCUGAGAAAUCAUCGACGCAGCCAUACUGGGGAGAGGCCAUUCACUUGCUCUGUGUGCGGGAAGGGAUUUGCUCACUCCUCCAUCCUCCAGACACAUCAGCGAGUUCACACUGAUGAGAGACCAUUCAGCUGCAUUCACUGUGGGAAGGGCUUCAGGCAGUCGCCCCACCUGAUUGCACACCAGCGAGUUCACACCGGCGAGAGGCCAUUCACCUGCUCUGUUUGUGGGAAGAGAUUCACUCACUUAUCCCACCUGCUGACACACCAGCGCGUUCACACUGGGGAACGGCCAUUCACCUGCUCUGUAUGUAGGAAGGGAUUCACUCGUUCAUCCGAGCUUCUGACACACCACCGAGUUCACACCGGAGAGAGGCCAUUUAUCUGCUCUGUGUGUGAAAAGGGAUUUAAUCGAUCUUCUAACUUGCUGAGACACCAGCGAGUUCACAUGAGACUUCAGGGGUUUGAAUCUUCUCUUAUUGCUACUGUUAAUCACACCCAGGACUGAACCAUAUUCAUUCAGACAAUGUUUGUUUCUGCUGAUAUUAAUAACCUUUGUAACUGGGCUGCAGUUUAACAUUCUGUAUAUUUGGCUAAUUUUCUUCUCGUAACUUCAGUCUCCCUUAAAAAACCACUGUCUCAGAUCUUUCUCCAUAAUUUAGGGACCUGCAUCAGAAAUGAGGUUGCAACAAAAUUAUAAACUUAUACAUCAGUACUAAAUUAAUAUUUGAAACAAAAUCUACAAUUCAGUGUGUGAAAGGUUUCACUGAUUAACAUCCCCAAUUAGAAAGUGCCCAUUAGUGUUUGCUGAAAAUUCUUACUGACUUGCACAUUACAAAUAAUGGUGCCCCCAUUGUCCACCAGAAAGAAGGGGAAUGGGAAUUGUAGAGAAUCAAGAGCUCCCAACUGGCAACUCCCAUCUGGCAAAGCAUUCUCCUCAGCACAGGAACUGAGACAAGUCUAAUACAAGUAAUGGGCUGGAUUUAAUCUUUGUGAACUUGGUGCCUUGGUUUAUAUCAGACAGGAAGAGAUAAGGGUCAGUGACUGGGGUUGAUUUAUAUCACACAGGAGGAGAUUGGUGCCGGCGAAUGUGGAAUUGGUUUAUAUCAGAAUGGAGGAAAUUGGUUUCAGUGAUGGUGGGGUUUGUUUAUAUCAGACAGGAUACACUAGUUUUAAAGUUGAAAGAAUUUAAUGCAGAUAGAAAUAUCAUGUUGUUCCUUUAUAUAAAAAGGAAGAUAGAACAAACCCAGUCAAUCAUAGAUCAGCCAGUUUAAUGAUGUUGGUAUGAAAAACAAUGAUAUCUGUACUCAAAGAUGUAUAGGAGUUUGAGGAAUUUGGGUGGUGUAUAAAAUAUUCAAAGCCCAAUUAUCCCAAUCUGCCAAUAGUUCAUUUUAACUCGUUGAGGUCCGAACAAGAAUUAAACCCGAUAGGUCGGACAAUAUUCUCAGAACGAAAAUUCAAAAGAAGGUUAUUCAAAAGAAUAUUAAUGAACACAGAAGAGGUCUACUUAUCAAAUCCAGAAACAGAGCUUAAGACUUCCGAUGGUUGAUCAGGCUGCAGAGUCAUAAUCUUCUUGUUAUCUCUUUGUUAGUAGCUAUGGCUAGCAAUAGGUCUGCUCUCAGACCCUGAUUUUAUCCUUUCACAUGAACAUCACACCAUUGUGGUUUCUUUAGCUCAUUGAUUGGUUCUGGCUAUUGUUAGGCUAAUUUAAUCGGUAUUUAAUUACAUAUUUAAAGAUAACAGCUUGGAUCAAAAGGACAGUUAAUGGAAAAUAAUAGUUCCUUGUUUUACUAAUCUUGAUCAGAUUGUGAACAGCGAGCUGUAUUCUUCAGCCAGGACCUGGCAGCCGUGAUGUUCCGUAUUUUAUCAAAAGUUAAAAAUAUUACUUUGGCUAAAGCAAUUCUUGCUGACACCACAACUUUCUAGAAGCACCUUAAGCUUUUACAGUGGUAAUUUUAAAAUAAAGACUCUAAUGCUUC